AGAGUUUGAUCCUGGCUCAGAACGAACGCUGGCGGCAGGCCUAACACAUGCAAGUCGAACGCCCCUAAUUCUUCGGAAGGACGGGGAGUGGCAGACGGGUGAGUAACGCGUGGGAACCUACCUAGUGGUACGGAACAACACAGAGAAAUUUGUGCUAAUACCGAAUACGCCCCUUCGGGGGGAAAGAUUUAUCGCCAUUGGAUGGGCCCGCGUUUGAUUAGCUAGUUGGUGAGGUAACGGCUCACCAAGGCGACGAUCAAUAGCUGGUCUGAGAGGAUGAUCAGCCACACUGGGACUGAGACACGGCCCAGACUCCUACGGGAGGCAGCAGUGGGGAAUAUUGGACAAUGGGCGCAAGCCUGAUCCAGCCAUGCCGCGUGAGUGAUGAAGGCCCUAGGGUUGUAAAGCUCUUUCAACGGUGAAGAUAAUGACGGUAACCGUAGAAGAAGCCCCGGCUAACUUCGUGCCAGCAGCCGCGGUAAUACGAAGGGGGCUAGCGUUGCUCGGAAUAACUGGGCGUAAAGCGCACGUAGGCGGAAUGUUAAGUGAGGGGUGAAAUCCCAGGGCUCAACCCUGGAACUGCCUUUCAUACUGGCAAUCUAGAGAUCGAGAGAGGUGAGUGGAAUUCCGAGUGUAGAGGUGAAAUUCGUAGAUAUUCGGAGGAACACCAGUGGCGAAGGCGGCUCACUGGCUCGAUAC
rnacentral:rRNA from 1 species